rnacentral:rRNA from 1 species
AUUGAACGCUAGCGGCAGGCUUAACACAUGCAAGUCGAACGAGUGGCGGACGGGUGAGUAAUGUAUGGGAAACUGCCUGCUGGAGGGGGAUAACUACUGGAAACGGUCGCUAAUACCGCAUACCAUCGGAUGUGCCCAGAUGGGAUUAGCUAGUAGGUGGGGUAAAGGCUCACCUAGGCGACGAUCCCUAGCUGGUCUGAGAGGAUGACCAGCCACACUGGAACUGAGACACGGUCCAGACUCCUACGGUAGGCAGCAGUGGGGAAUAGUGGACAAUUGGCGAAAGCCUGAUGCAGCCAUGCCGCGUGUAUGAAGAAGGCCUUCGGGUUGUAAAGUACUUUCAGCGGGGAGGCGUUACCCGCAGAAUAAGCACCGGCUAACUCCGUGCCAGCAGCCGCGGUAAUAC